CGGAAGAUGCUGGGCCACGCAAGUUUCCCUGGGCUUGGUUAACCACCCCAAAGCCCAUUUCCAGAAGGAAAGGGUGUUGAGGAGGAGGGAUAGAAAGUCGAGAAGAGGGCCGGGGUCUUGCUCUGUUGCUCAGGCUGGAGUGAAGUAGAGCAUUCACAGCCCACUGCAACCUUGAACACCUGGGCUCAAGCAAUCCUCCUGCCUCAGCCUCCUGAGUAGCUGGGACCACAGAUGUGUACCACCAUGCCCAGCUACAUGUCUUUCUUUUGGGGGGACAGCAGAAACCUGGGCAGAGGAGGAAUCCUGAUACCCAGUUCUGAAACAAAGUGGCAGAAUUUGUAAUACAGAAGAAGGAUCUUGUGACUGGUAUUCUGUUAUCCACAAGAGUAAAUGUUCCCAAAUAAACAAAACUGGGAUAUGAAA
ensembl:lncRNA PCMTD1-DT PCMTD1 divergent transcript